UCCUAUCAAGGUUCCAGAAAUACAAGCC
rnacentral:piRNA from 1 species